GCAACCAGGAAGAAAUUGCUGGAGAUUGCCAGAGCAUUUUCAGAGAAAACAAAGAUGAGGAAAUCCAAGAGAAAGCAUUUGCUCAAACACCAAGUUUUUGGAACAGCCGCCUCCACAGCCAAUCUUCUGGAUGAUGUUGAAGGACAUUCAUGUGAUGAAGAUAUCCAAGCAAGGAUAAAACGGCAGAACCAUGAGGGGGUAGAAGCACAGAAAGAAGGACAGUCAAAAUCCUAAAUCCUGCCAGAAUCCCUGAAUGGACCUGGUUGGCUGAUGAAAGAAGACUCUAUGGCACAAUUUUUUUAAUCACAUAUUUUGCUAUGUGAUGGCAGCAGCCAAAUCUCAGAGAAUGUUUAGUACUCAAACUGCUUUAAAAUAAUUGUGUUUUAAAAUGGUACAAUUUUUUUUUUUUUUUGUGAUUUCCUUUUCUGGAUGAACAUAACCGCCCACUGAAAUGUCUGUUUUACCAGCACAAAUUGUAUACGUUCAUUUAUAAUACUGAUGUGCUACAAAGGUUUUUUGGUUUUAUUUUUAUGUUUGAGUGCAAUAAAACUGCCCUAAAUAAGCCAUUACAGGUAAUCUACGGAUCACAUGCACAAUUUAUUAGCCAAUUGGCUUUGUGCCCUUUUAAUACAUUGACUCAGGCUUGGUGAACAGUGGAUAUUACACUGAAUAGUGGGCUUCUGUCAGUACCAUGUGAAUUGAAUACCCAAUCAAGCAGAGCCAAGUGCAUUGAUUUUCUGCAAGCUAAUAAAUGUAUGACAUAAGUGUACUAAAAGUAUUCUUCUACAUCUGAUUUACCUUUUAACUAGCAAAAUAUAGCCAGCAGAAUCCAAUAGUAUUGCAGUCCACCAGUUGAUGGUUUUAGAAACAAAUUUGUUUUUAUUUUUGAAAGCCAAAUAACUUUGAAUGGGACAAUAUAGGCUACGAUAACCAUUUACCUUAAUUUUUAAAAUAAUAGUUUAAAGUCGUAUGUUAAAUAGUAAUGCAGAAGUAAGUCCCUGAGGGUCUUUAGAGCAUAGCAUAUUCUUAGUAAUAUUUAAUGAUGAAAAGUAAACUAUUUUUGCAUACUUAAGUUAUGCUUUUGAAAAUAUUUUUAGAUUGCAUAUAUUACCAGUUAGUACAUUUACAGCAGAAUGAACCUUUUCUAGUUUGAUUUUCAAGACACUUUUGUUUCAAGGAUAACUCCUAAUUUUUUAUUUUUUAUCCCCUCAAUCUUCUCAGGAGCAAUGCCAGGCUCUCAGAAUACCUGGGGCCGACCUUGUACAACAGCUGUAGUCACACUUGUGCAUGGUAUAAUGUUAUAAUUGAGAAUUAUUUUCAAAAUGUAUACGUUUUUAGCUAUACUGGCAUAUACCAAUUUAUGUAUAUCACAUAAGUGGUUAUUAAUAAAAUUUAUUUUAAUUUUAAUGAAAUAUUUGCUUGAAACUCGGGGUUAGAUUCUCUGUAGCCACGCCCUUGCUACUUUUCCAUAGCAACUAGAUAGAUAGACUUUUUAAAAGAGACUUUUAUUCUAAAUUGGAAAAAUAAUGCGACAAUUGAUGGUCUUAUUACAACAUGACAGAGUUACAUUGGUGCCUCUGAUUAGGAAGAUGUAUUAACUGUGCUAAGAAUUAUAGUAAGGAACCUAAUGUUCAGAAAGUCUGAACACUUUUUAAAACAAAAAUGUAAGUUGAUCGAAUAACAAAAGGCACAUGAAUAAGCAUAACAGAACUUCAGAUACUUGUGAAUGUAUUUAUAUUUGCUGCGCAGCUGUCUGCAAGAUGCUGUUCCCUGUUAUCAGUCAUUUCAGAUAUGUCAUUGUCAGUAGAUUGACAAGCUCGGAGGAUUGCUGUGCAGAGGGAUGUUUUUCCUCUGUGUUAACAGCUUUAAUUGAAAUAUGUCCAGCGUGCAUAAGUUGGCAAAAGUAUUGCAUAAAUGUGUGUAUAAAUAUGGCUAGCUAUACACACACAUAUAUAUUCAGAGUUUAGUGAUUCUUACUGGAAGAUCACAUUUCCAAAGCUGGUGAAGAACAAAAAGUGUUCAUUGCAUUUCAGUGUAAUAUUGGGCGACUGUUGAUGUUUCUAAUAAACUAGCCAUUGUUUUCUAGUCUCUAUCACAGCUACAGGCAAAUAGAACUCAUUAUAUCUACUGCAGUUAAAUCUAAAAUUUCUCAGUAUUCUGCCUGCUGAAACCAAUGUUGUAGAUUGCCAUCUAGGACAUAAGCUGUGGUAAUAAAAAGGUUUUCAUUCACAAUCUAUCUCUUCACAAUAUAGAGUGUAUAUUUUUGUUAUAGGAAAUGCCAUAACACAUGAAUUAGUUAAUUAGUGCUGUCCAUACAGGUAAUUAAAGAGAAGGUGCCAUCAUCGUCGGUGUAUGGACGUCAUGCUGUGGUUGUAAUGUUGUGAUACUCAUACUUUUGAGAUAUGACUCAAACAGUUGCAAUUAAAUAUUGUGAUGAUAUACUGGGAUGCACCAAUGUCAUGUGUUAAUGUAAAAGAAAAAAAAAACUUUAAUAAAAUUCAAUAUUUAUAUUGCUGA